AUGAACGCUGGCGGCGUGCCUAAUACAUGCAAGUCGAGCGAACAGACAAGGAGCUUGCUCCUCUGACGUUAGCGGCGGACGGGUGAGUAACACGUGGAUAACCUACCUAUAAGACUGGGAUAACUUCGGGAAACCGGAGCUAAUACCGGAUAAUAUAUUGAACCGCAUGGUUCAAUAGUGAAAGACGGUUUUGCUGUCACUUAUAGAUGGAUCCGCGCCGCAUUAGCUAGUUGGUAAGGUAACGGCUUACCAAGGCAACGAUGCGUAGCCGACCUGAGAGGGUGAUCGGCCACACUGGAACUGAGACACGGUCCAGACUCCUACGGGAGGCAGCAGUAGGGAAUCUUCCGCAAAGGGCGAAAGCCUGACGGAGCAACGCCGCGUGAGUGAUGAAGGUCUUCGGAUCGUAAAACUCUGUUAUUAGGGAAGAACAAAUGUGUAAGUAACUAUGCACGUCUUGACGGUACCUAAUCAGAAAGCCACGGCUAACUACGUG
rnacentral:rRNA from 1 species